ACGGGAGGCAGCAGCUAAGAAUAUUCCGCAAUGGACGAAAGUCUGACGGAGCGACGCCGCGUGGAUGAUGAAGGUCGGAAGAUUGUAAAAUCCUUUUAUAACUGAGGAAUAAGCAGUGUGAGAGAAACGCAUUGCGGUGACUGUAGGUUAUGAAUAAGCAACGGCUAAUUACGUGCCAGCAGCCGCGGUAACACGUAAGUUGCGAGCGUUAUUCGGAAUUAUUGGGCGUAAAGGGCAUGUAGGCGGUUUUGCAAGCUUGGUGUGAAAUCCCGGGGCUUAACCCCGGAACUGCAUUGAGAACUGCAUGACUAGAGUCAAUGAGGGGAAACCGGAAUUCCAGGUGUAGGGGUGAAAUCUGUAGAUAUCUGGAAGAACACCAAUGGCGAAGGCAGGUUUCUAGCAUAUGACUGACGCUGAGGUGCGAAGGUGCGGGGAUCAAACAGGAUUAGAUACCCUGGUA
rnacentral:rRNA from 1 species